rnacentral:rRNA from 1 species
ACAGCAGUCGCCACGGGAAUACAGAGGGUGCAAGCGUUAAUCGGAAUUACUGGGCGUAAAGCGCGCGUAGGUGGUUUGUUAAGUUGGAUGUGAAAUCCCCGGGCUCAACCUGGGAACUGCAUCCAAAACUGGCAAGCUAGAGUAUGGUAGAGGGUGGUGGAAUUUCCUGUGUAGCGGUGAAAUGCGUAGAUAUAGGAAGGAACACCAGUGGCGAAGGCGACCACCUGGACUGAUACUGACACUGAGGUGCGAAAGCGUGGGGAGCAAACAGGAUUAGAUACCCGCGUAGUCCCUGUCUCUUAUAC